UUGAAAUUGGUCUGUUAGUUAAUGUUAAAUAUAUAUAUAUAUAUAUAUGAAAUUCUCGCUACGAGCCCUUUCAAUUGAUAUGUCAUACGGUAUAAUUAAAUGGCCUCCAAUAGUAAAUAACAUUCUAUUUUUGUUACUCGUCUGUCUUUCAGCCACCACACCGACUUACAAAAUAUAAUGUGAAGAGUAUAGGUAGGUACCUAUAACGUUAAUGCCUGGUAGGUAUAACCAGUAUUUUUUUUUACCAAACUUAUGUAGCAUUGGGCGGCCACAUGGUUAAAAGGUGGCCGCUGGGGAAGAAAGGUUCUUGAGUAGUGCCUGGGCACCGUUGGGUGAGGGCAGAGGACAGGACGGUGUGGAGAUCUUUAGUAGACGUCUUUCUGCUGAAACGAUAACAAAUUAAACUACUAUCGAACCAGUUUCAUACACAAAUUAAUUUAAUUGAUAUUCAUGCAUAUUCUCGGUUUUUCCACAUAGCUCCAUAAUUUUGUCGACGUCUUGGUCAAAUUGAUAAUUCAAAAAACCAGAAAACAACUCGCAGACAUCUCACAAUAUGCUGAUCAUGCUAAGUCCCUGUUCACACGGCGUGAGUCACACGACAAAACCCUAACCUCAUCGCUUGCCGUGUCGUCAACUCAACUUAACCAAUAUUACUAUACAUAUAAGUAUGAAUAUUAUGAUAUUUAUUUAUUUAUUUUAAAAUUAUUUAUUUAUUUAUUUAUGUUCAUCUUCCGUUUCCGUAACUAUAUAUAUAUCAAGUACGAUGGAGUAAAAAAGUAAUUAGUUAUAAACUUAGAUUUGCAUAUCAAUUGACUUUUAUCUACCAUCAAAUAACUAAGCUAUCCCACAGCCGCCAGACGGGUUUCACUUCAUUAUCGCGUAAAGACAACGCUGGCCUCUAAAAAUCAGCGUCGCUAAGUGUGUCAUAUUCCUUUAUUGUUCCUUAUUAAGCUUAUAUGACUUUUUGGCGCAGUUCUUAUAAUUUUGUGUUCUUUUUAGGAUUUUCUACCUUUUCGCCGAAGUUUUAUUUUCCGAAUUACACUUGGCAACCUACUAUUCGUCGACGGUUUACUUUGACGACCAAUAUUCGGCAAAAUUUUAUUAUGCACGUUUUACUUAAUAUGCGAAGAAUUGGUUGCGAAAAUGAUAAUCGCCAAAAUUAUCUUCGGCAAUAAUUUAGAGAACCUAUUUUUAGUUCGUUUAAUAUUAUUUUAUUGUGUUAUUUAAUAAAGAUAUUUCUUCUUUUUUCUUCUUUAGGCGAUAGCUCGCCUGUGAUUAGUAAGCGUCUAGAAUUAGUCACGGAGCCGUACUGUCACACAUGACCGGUUCCCGAUACUCCGCUGACUUAAGACAUUCUCGAGCCGUUGAAGAUCGAGUGUCAAAACAACGAGGUAUUAUAUCUUGCAACAGCCUGCUGAAUGAGACCAAUUAAUGUUUAAUACUGUUAGUAUUUUAUAUUGGUUUGACUUGCAGCUCAUGAUUUUUUAAUUUAUUUGACAACGAAGGUCAUUUAGUCCAUUACAUAGUCACCCAGCGUGUUUUAAGUAAGUAUUUGCUCUAUAUUUACGACAGAUAAAUCACCAAAAGAAAUAUAACCUGCAGAUGUCAAAAGUAAUUUCCAAGACAAUGUGUCAAAGUCUCUUUUCUAUAAAUUAACAUUUUAAAUAUGCAUCCUGCUGGGCAAGUCUAUCGUAGGACCAAUAAGUAAUAACCUUUGGAGCAAAUAAGAAAAUCAUUAAAUUCCGGGCAGUGAACUAUAACUUGGAAUGAUUUAUGAAAAAGUCUUAAAUCAUGGGACCGUAGACCUGAGUAACUAUAUAGUUUAAAUCUCGACUCACGCUAUCUUCACGCGUUCCUGAGAUAAAGGGUCUUGACAAAUAGACGGACGGACGGCCGGAUGGUCGGAAGGACAAAAGUCAUCCUAUUAGGGAUCCUUUUUUCCUUUUGAGGUAAGGAAACCUAAAAAAUAUCUUUGACAUUGUAUAGCAAUUAUUCCUGAAAUAUAUUUGCAUGGACUAACGAAUUUAUAAGCCUGCAAACCCUCCUGUUGUUGAUACCUACCUACACACUUGGCCCCUAUCAUACGUAUAGGAUCAUAAUUAUUUCAACAAUAAGGUGCCGUAACAGUAGUGCCAGUACAACUUACUUACUUACUUGGCUGGCGCGAUGACCCGAAAUGAGUCUUAGCCUCCAACACAACAAUCCGCCAUUUUGCUUGAUCCUGAGUGAAUUCACGCCAGCUUUCGCUGACGCCGAGCUCACGGAUGGGUGCAGAUCGAGCAGUCAGAAGAGCAUACUUGGGUCGACCAACUGGACGCGGAGCGCGUUGCGUAGCGUUGAGUGGAUAGAGUCGAGGCAGAUCUCUCUGCCGGUACAAAAGUCCUACAAAUCUAAAGCUAACUUAUGUGUACCCAUUUCAAUGUAGGUACUAACUACUAAGUACUUAACCUAAAUGACUUGGGUGCUGUUAUUUGAUUUCCAAGUUAAAAUGAUCGUGUUGCACGGCACUUUCAACUCUUUCAGACUUUCGUAAAGUAGAACAGAUUUUAAAGCUAUGAUUGUGUGGAAAGAUAUUUUUUAUGCAGGGACAAUUCGAUGUCAACGUAGAUUAUACCAUUUAGUUUAAAAAAAAUGGAAAAUAAUAAUCAUUAAAAGGUUUGGACUUUAAAUAAAAACUAUUGGUUUGUA